GCUGCAAAUUCAUUGAUUCUGAAGUGUUUUCUUCCCCCCAUCACAUUGCAGGAAACUGCUCCAUUUGAGAAUAAUUUGCUAAAAUGUUGCCAUCACUGCUGAGGAACUCUGAGCACCAUGGCGGACGUGAGGGCUUCUUCCAUCCUACUGAAAUCCUCAGCUGGAGUCACUCAUCCUCAUGGAGAUGAAGGACCCGGACGGCCAUGGGGAGAAGAGGCGGGACACAGAGUAUGCGUUGCAUUUGGGGAUGUUAAAUGCAAUGUGAGCCGUCGCAUGUUCCCGCCAGCACGCCUACCACCAUGGACUGAACCUUAAUCAGGAGCUGAACUAAAUCCUUCCUUCUUAAGUUGCUUUUGCUUGGCAUUUUAUCACAGCAACAAGAAAAGUGAAUAAUCCCUAGGCCCAGUGUCUGACUUCUUCCAGUUAGGUCCCCACCUGAAAGAUUCCACAACCUUGUGGAACAAUUCUUGGGACUGGAUCCAGUCGGUGGUAAACACAUGAGUCUUGGGGGACAUUUCACAUUCAAACCACAACGCCUGGUUGUGGUAAUCUGACUUUAAUUUCCAGAUGAAUGUGUAUAAUUUUUCUUCCCUACCCUAUGGCAACCGGCUGAGGGCUAUGGUACUAUGCCUUGCUUCACUUAAGUAUCUAUUUUUGAGAAGCCACGUUCUUGGCCUACAUGACCAACAGAUGGAUGCUGAAUACCUGAUGUUGAUUACCUAUCUGGGUCUGACGAUGGUGGUCCUGCCAUUUAGGGGAGGGUGUUUGCAUGGUUCUUUCUGCUGGGGAAGGGUUGGCUGAUGACAUCUGCAGUUUCUAUCAUGCAUCCAUUGUGUUCACAACAGGAAGAUGGCUGGCUGGAGUUACAGGUGGAAUGUGGGGUUUCAGGACAGUCGGCUGGGUUUGGUUUCAGCGGUUUCCACUUCUUCUAGUUAAUUUUCAUUGAUCUAAAAGGGUCCCUCUGUCUGUUGCCCAAAAGCAGGCUGGGUGGCCACCAGUGACCUCUGUACAAAAGAGAGUCAGAUGGAUCCAUCAGGAGGUGAUUCAGAAGAGUGGAGAGGCAUCUAAUUCCCCUCCAAGUGUAAUCUUUGGAUUGCUCAGAAGGGAGAGGUAUCUUUUAAAAAGACUGUUUUCUGCCCCUCCACACCCAUGAGACCUACGAAAUUGUGAUAUUUGGGAACAGACCUCCCUAAGCUUCAUUUUUGAAAACCACACUGGGACGUGAGAAAAUUGCUACCUGAGGAAAAGGAAAACGAAGUGUGCAGAGCCCCAGCCCUAGGUUUGCUGUCCAGGCAGGCACAGUAAGCUGUGCUACCCAUGCUGAGACAUUUGAAGAGCUUAAGGGGCACUAAUUACCAUUGCCUCCAGGGAAAGGAUCUGUGCUUUGCAGGAAGAAACCCCUGAAGAAACCCCAGAACUGUUACAGUUUGUGUGUGGGUUUCCAUCCCACCCAAUUCUCUUUGGUGUACAAAUCUCUCACUUGCUGUUAGAGCUGAAAAUUCCACAGAUGUUUCCCAGGGUCCUAGAACUCAGUAGUAGUGAGUAGUGGUUAGCCAUUACAGCAUUGGCCUGGAAGUUCCAACUCCCAUUGAGG